UUCCCUGUGGUCCAGUGGUUAGGACUCAGCACUUUCACUGCUGUGGCCCAGGUUCAAUCCCUGGUCAGGGAAU